ACAGUAUAUAUUUUACACUUACAGCAUAUCUUGAAUCACACUAGCCAUAUUUGAAGUGCUCAGCCACACGUGCUUAAGUGGCUACCAUAUUAGACAGCAGAAUUCUAGUAAACUGGUCAUUAAACAAACAAAAAAAAUCAGUUUUGUUUUCAUCCGUUAUCUUUGCAAAAGGCAGUCUUAACUACAUUUGGCAAAGUGAAAUAUAUCAACAUGUCUGCCGCUUCAGGAUCUCACAUGCUGUAUCUCUGUGAUUUAGUUUUUUGGAGUAACAAUUCUCAUUGGGUUGUACCUACCCAAGCACUAUCCUGAAAGCAGAGUUUUAAAUUCUCCCGUGUUAAUACCCUCGGGCACUGCUGCUUUCUCUUGUGUGGGAGUGAUAAGAGGUAAGAAAGGAACAACAGCGGAGGAAAGGCAUCCCAGCAUCCGGGGAGUAGGUCCCCCACCCCGCAGCUAACUGAGCUCCCUCCUGCAGCUCACAGGUGCCACACCCUGCCUUCCUCUGGUUUCAAGCAAAUGACUGUCAGAACUAUUUCAGCUGUGACAGGUAUGAAAACUGUGGGCCAAGAGAGCACCAAGCACAGCGUGCCCUGGCCAAGCACAGGGAGGGGUGAGAAAGUACUGCUUCCUGGUACUGGUUCUGGAAGAUCUGCUCUGUGGAUCUGGCAAGUGAGAAUGGGGGCAAUAUUCCUCUGAAGCUCUCUUGAAUGUUGGAAAAGAUAAUCACAUACUUACUGAAGUUAAUUACAAAUGAAAUUAUAUGUGUGGGGAUUUGCUUUACAUUUAUCUGUGGGGAGAAAGGGUAUGUGAGUAUAGUUGAAACAAGAUCGGCCAUACUUGAUUGCUGUAGCUGGCAUGUUGUUGCCAAGGUUCAUUACACUAGUCCCUCUACUUUUGGGUAUUUCUUUUCGUUCUAGGUCUU